AAGAGAGCUAUCCAUCGACAGUCAAGUAUUAUAAUAUACUGUCAUGGAAUUGCUCUUUUUG
rnacentral:pre_miRNA from 1 species